GGACGAACGCUGGCGGCGUGCUUACCCCAUGCAAGUCGAACGGAAAGGCCCUGCUUUUGUGGGGUGCUCGAGUGGCGAACGGGUGAGUAACACGUGAGUAACCUGCCCUUGACUUUGGGAUAACUUCAGGAAACUGGGGCUAAUACCGGAUAGGAGCUCCUGCUGCAUGGUGGGGGUUGGAAAGUUUCGGCGGUUGGGGAUGGACUCGCGGCUUAUCAGCUUGUUGGUGGGGUAGUGGCUUACCAAGGCUUUGACGGGUAGCCGGCCUGAGAGGGUGACCGGCCACCAUGGGACUGAGGUACGGCCCAGACUCCUACGGGAGGCAGCAGUGGGGAAUAUUGCACAAUGGGCGGAAGCCUGAUGCCGCAACGCCGCGUGCGGGAUGACGGCCUUCGGGUUGUAAACCCCUUUCGCCUGUGACGAAGCGUGAGUGACGGUAAUGGGUAAAGAAGCACCGGCUAACUACGUG
rnacentral:rRNA from 1 species